AAAAAAAGGCAAAGCGGUUGAAAGACCGUGACGCAAAACUAAAGGGCCUAAACUAAAGGGAUGGCAGCCAGUUGC
rnacentral:ncRNA from 1 species